rnacentral:rRNA from 1 species
UACGUAGGGUGCGAGCGUUAAUCGGAAUUACUGGGCGUAAAGUGUGCGCAGGCGGCCAUGCAAGUCGAGUGUGAAAGCCCCGGGCUUAACUUGGGAAUUGCGCUCGAAACUACGUGGCUGGAGUGUGGCAGAGGAAGGUGGAAUUCCACGUGUAGCGGUGAAAUGCGUAGAGAUGUGGAGGAACACCAAUGGCGAAGGCAGCCUUCUGGGCCAACACUGACGCUCAUGCACGAAAGCGUGGGUAGCAAACAGG